rnacentral:antisense_RNA from 1 species
CUUCACGGAACCCAGCCACAACGGCCGGCCGUCCUCACGUUCCUGGCCGUACGUGGCCAGUAGCGCCUGCGCCUC